AUUGAACGCUGGCGGCAUGCCUUACACAUGCAAGUCGAACGGCAGCACGGGAGCAAUCCUGGCGGCGAGUGGCGAACGGGUGAGUAAUAUAUCGGAACGUGCCCAGUAAUGGGGGAUAGCCCGGCGAAAGCCGGAUUAAUACCGCAUACGACCUACGGGUGAAAGCAGGGGAUCGCAAGACCUUGCGUUAUUGGAGCGGCCGAUAUCAGAUUAGCUAGUUGGUGGGGUAAAAGCCUACCAAGGCGACGAUCUGUAGCUGGUCUAAGAGGACGACCAGCCACACUGGGACUGAGACACGGCCCAGACUCCUACGGGAGGCAGCAGCGGGGAAUUUUGGACAAUGGGCGCAAGCCUGAUCCAGCCAUGCCGCGUGUGGGAAGAAGGCCUUCGGGUUGUAAACCACUUUUGUCAGGGAAGAAACGCUCUGGGCUAAUACCCUGGGGUAAUGACGGUACCUGAAGAAUAAGCACCGGCUAACUACGUGCCAGCCGCCGCUGUAAGAC
rnacentral:rRNA from 1 species